ACUGGUGGCACUGGGGAUGGUGGCUCCAGGACAGACUGUGGCACACACUGGGGGUGACCAGUGACACCAGACAUGGUGGCACUGGGGAAAGUGGGGACAGUAGGGAUGGUGGCACCAGUGGCACUGGAGACACUGGGGACACUGGUGGCACUGGGGAUGGUGGCACUGGGGAUGGUGGCACUGGGGAUGGUGGCACUGGGGACACUGGGGACACUGGUGGCACUGGGGAUGGUGGCACUGGGGACACCGGUGGCACUGGGGACACCGGUGGCACUGGGGAUGGUGGCACUGGGACACGCUGGGUGACAGGUGGCAGUGCUGCCACUGGGGAUGGUAUCAGCAGGGGGGACACUGGGGGUGACAGCGGUGGCGCCACUGGUGGCACUGGUGACAAUGACAGCACUGGUGACACUGGUGAUGGUGGCAGCGGUGACAUUUAUGGCAGCGGAUGGUGACAGCAGUGACAGUGGCACCGCUGGCACCGGUGACACCGGUGGCAGUGGAUGGUGGCAGCGGUGACAGCAGUGGAUGGUGGCAGCGGUGACAGCAGCGGAGGAUGGCAGCGGUGGUGGCACUGGAUGGUGACAGUGGGGACAGCAGGGGUGGCACUGGCGGCCCUGGGAAGGUGGCAGCGGGGUGACAGCGGUGGCACUGACGAGCUGGCACUGCUGUCCCUGUCCCAGCACUGGGGGUGGCACUGGUGGCCCUGUCCCUGUCCCCAAUGGCCCUGUCCCUGUCCCUGGUGGCACCGGGGAGGUGACAGCGGUGGCCCUGUCCCUGUCACCGGUGGCCCUGUCCCUGUCCCUGGUGGCACCGGGGAGGUGACAGUGGUGGCACUGCUGUCCCUGUCCCAGCACUGGGGGGUGGCACCGGUGGCCCUGUCCCUGUCCCCGGUGGCACCGGGGAGGUGACAACGGUGGCACCGGUGUCCCCUGGGCACCGCCGGUGACACCGGUGGCCCUGUCCCUGUCCCCGGUGGCACUGGGGAGGUGACACCGGUGGCACCGGCGUCCCCCUGGCACCACUGAUGACACCGGUGGCCCUGUCCCUGUCCCUGGUGGCACUGGGAGGGCGGCAGCAGAGUGAGGUGGCACUGGUGUCCCCCUGGCACCGCCGGUGACACCGGUGGCCCUGUCCCUGUCCCCAGCCGCGAGGGUGGCACUGCUGACCCUGCUCCUGGUGACAGUGGUGGCACCGGUGGCCCUGUCC
rnacentral:lncRNA from 1 species